rnacentral:sRNA from 1 species
AGCAAACCAGUCUCUUUGCCUGCUAGAGAGCCAUCGAUGUUUUCGUUGGUUCUUGGAAGAACUGUACUUCGACCUUAUAUAAUUAUCAGAAAGGCAAGAUCUGGACUACGAAUGAGUCACCUGCUAAUUACACCAAUGGCUGCUCCUGCCUUGACCAGUCACAGAGUAUCACCCUAUCUCGAUUUCCUUUGGCUUCAAAGCUCUCUCACCGUAUUUUGGGAAGUUAUGGAUCAUCACAUUCCCAUGCAUGCUUUGCCUGAAGAAAUCCAAAAGAUGUUGCCUGAAGAAAAAGUUUGUAAGUACUGUGGAGUCAGCUAUCUAAUUCUUCAUGAAUUUAAGGCUAUGG